rnacentral:rRNA from 1 species
AACGAACGCUGGCGGCAUGCCUAACACAUGCAAGUCGAACGAGACCUUCGGGUCUAGUGGCGCACGGGUGCGUAACGCGUGGGAACCUGCCCUUAGGUUCGGGAUAACUCCCCGAAAGGGGUGCUAAUACCGGAUAAUGUCUUCGGACCAAAGAUUUAUCGCCUUUGGAUGGGCCCGCGUUGGAUUAGCUAGUUGGUAGGGUAAAAGCCUACCAAGGCGACGAUCCAUAGCUGGUCUGAGAGGAUGAUCAGCCACACUGGGACUGAGACACGGCCCAGACUCCUACGGGAGGCAGCAGUGGGGAAUAUUGGACAAUGGGCGAAAGCCUGAUCCAGCAAUGACGCGUGAGUGAUGAAGGCCUUAGGGUUGUAAAGCUCUUUUACCCGGGAUGAUAAUGACAGUACCGGGAGAAUAAGCUCCGGCUAACUCCGUG